UACGUAGGGGGCAAGCGUUGUCCGGAAUCAUUGGGCGUAAAGAGCGUGUAGGCGGCCCCUUAAGUCCUGCGUGAAAUCCUGUGGCUCAACCGCAGACGGUCGUGGGAAACUGGAGGGCUAGAGUGCGGGAGAGGAGAGUGGAAUUCCCGGUGUAGCGGUGAAAUGCGCAGAUAUCGGGAAGAACACCCGUGGCGAAGGCGGCUCUCUGGAACGCAACUGACGCUGAGACGCGAAAGCGUGGGGAGCAAGCAGG
rnacentral:rRNA from 1 species